rnacentral:rRNA from 1 species
GGUUAAGUGAAUAAGGGCGCACGGUGGAUGCCUUGGCACUAGGAGCCGAUGAAGGACGGGACUAACACCGAUAUGCUUUGGGGAGCUGUAAGUAAGCCUAUGAUCCAGAGAUUUCCGAAUGGGGGAACCCAGCAUCUUUUAUAGGAUGUUACACAGUUGUGAAUACAUAGCAGCUGUGAGGUAGACGCAGAGAACUGAAACAUCUAAGUACCUGCAGGAAGAGAAAGAAAAUUCGAUUCCCUGAGUAGCGGCGAGCGAAACGGGAAAAGCCCAAACCAACAAGCUUGCUUGUUGGGGUUGUAGGACUCCGAUAUGGUAGUUGAAACAGAUAGUCGAAAUACUUGGAAAAGUAUGUCAAAGAGGGUAAAAACCCCGUAGAUGAAAUCUGGCUCACACCUAGGAGGAUCCUGAGUACGGCGGAACACGAGGAAUUCCGUCGGAAUCCGGGAGGACCAUCUCCCAAGGCUAAAUACUCCCUAGUGACCGAUAGUGAACCAGUACCGUGAGGGAAAGGUGAAAAGCACCCCGGAAGGGGAGUGAAAUAGAUCCUGAAACCGUGCCUUUUGUAGAAUGAACCGGCGAGUUACGAUAGCAUGCGAGGUUAAGUUGAAGAGACGGAGCCGCAGCGAAAGCGAGUCUGAAUAGGGCGAAUGAGUAUGUUGUCGUAGACCCGAAACCAUGUGAUCUACCCAUGUCCAGGUUGAAGGUGCGGUAAAACGCACUGGAGGACCGAACCCACGUACGUUGAAAAGUGCGGGGAUGAGGUGUGGGUAGCGGAGAAAUUCCAAACGAACUUGGAGAUAGCUGGUUCUCUCCGAAAUAGCUUUAGGGCUAGCCUCGGAAUUGAGAAUGAUGGAGGUAGAGCACUGUUUGGACUAGGGGCCCAUCUCGGGUUACCGAAUUCAGAUAAACUCCGAAUGCCAUUCAUUCAUAUCCGGGAGUCAGACUGUGAGUGAUAAGAUCCAUAGUCGAAAGGGAAACAGCCCAGACCACCAGCUAAGGUCCCCAAAUAACUAUUAAGUGGAAAAGGAUGUGGGGUUGCACAGACAACUAGGAUGUUGGCUUAGAAGCAGCCACCAUUUAAAGAGUGCGUAAUAGCUCACUAGUCGAGUGACCCUGCGCCGAAAAUGUACCGGGGCUAAAUAGUUUACCGAAGCUGUGGAGUGCACCAUAAGGUGCAUUGGUAGGAGAGCGUUCUAAGGGCGUUGAAGGUAGAUCGUGAGGACUACUGGAGCGCUUAGAAGUGAGAAUGCCGGUAUGAGUAGCGAAAGACAGGUGAGAAUCCUGUCCACCGUAUGACUAAGGUUUCCUGGGGAAGGCUCGUCCGCCCAGGGUUAGUCGGGACCUAAGCCGAGGCCGACAGGCGUAGGCGAUGGACAACAGGUUGAUAUUCCUGUACCCGUUGUUUUUGUUUGAGCAAUGGAGGGACGCAGGAGGCUAAGAAGUGCAGACUGAUGGAUAUGUCUGUUCAAGCAGUGAGUCUUAGUGGGAGUCAAAUGCUUCUACUUUCAAGGACAAGCUGUGAUGAGGAGGGAAAUAAUAGUACCGAAGCUUCUGAUGUCACACUGCCAAGAAAAGCUUCUAGUGAGAAAACAAUGGCCCGUACCGCAAACCGACACAGGUAGUCGAGGAGAGCAUCCUAAGGUGAGCGAGAGAACUCUCGUUAAGGAACUCGGCAAAAUGACCCCGUAACUUCGGGAGAAGGGGUGCUGCUCUAACGAGCAGCCGCAGUGAAUAGGCCCAAGCGACUGUUUAUCAAAAACACAGGUCUCUGCAAAAUCGAAAGAUGACGUAUAGGGGCUGACGCCUGCCCGGUGCUGGAAGGUUAAGAGGAGUGCUUAGCGUAAGCGAAGGUACGAAUUGAAGCCCCAGUAAACGGCGGCCGUAACUAUAACGGUCCUAAGGUAGCGAAAUUCCUUGUCGGGUAAGUUCCGACCCGCACGAAAGGCGUAACGAAAGGCGUAACGAUUUGGGCACUGUCUCAACGAGAGACUCGGUGAAAUUUUAGUACCUGUGAAGAUGCAGGUUACCCGCGACAGGACGGAAAGACCCCAUGGAGCUUUACUGUAGUUUGAUAUUGAGUGUCUGUACCGCAUGUACAGGAUAGGUAGGAGCCGUAGAGAUCGGGACGCCAGUUUCGAUGGAGGCAAUGGUGGGAUACUACCCUUGCGUUAUGGCCACUCUAACCCGCAGCCCUUAUCGGGCUGGGAGACAGUGUCAGAUGGGCAGUUUGACUGGGGCGGUCGCCUCCUAAAAGGUAACGGAGGCGCCCAAAGGUUCCCUCAGAAUGGUUGGAAAUCAUUCGAAGAGUGUAAAGGCAGAAGGGAGCUUGACUGCGAGAGCUACAACUCGAGCAGGGACGAAAGUCGGGCUUAGUGAUCCGGUGGUUCCGCAUGGAAGGGCCAUCGCUCAACGGAUAAAAGCUACCCUGGGGAUAACAGGCUUAUCUCCCCCAAGAGUCCACAUCGACGGGGAGGUUUGGCACCUCGAUGUCGGCUCCGUGAGACAGUUCGGUCCCUAUCCGUCGCGGGCGUUGGAAAUUUGAGAGGAGCUGUCCUUAGUACGAGAGGACCGGGAUGGACUUACCGCUGGUGUACCAGUUGUCUCGCCAGAGGCAUCGCUGGGUAGCUAUGUAGGGAAGGGAUAAACGCUGAAAGCAUCUAAGUGUGAAGCCCACCUCAAGAUGAGAUUUCCCAUUUCUUUAAGAAAGUAAGAUCCCUGAGAGAUGAUCAGGUAGAUAGGU